UGGCUCUCGCAUCGAUGAAGAACGCAGCAAAAUGCGAUACGUAAUGUGAAUUGCAGAAUUCCGUGAAUCAUCGAAUCUUUGAACGCAUAUUGCACUCUCUGGUAUUCCGGGGAGUAUGCCUGUUUCAGUAUCAUUGAUCAUCUCAAAAUCAUAACAAUUUUGGAAUUGAGCUUUUGCCGGAAAAAAUCGGCUGGCUUUAAACCUAGUCACAGCAAAGAACCGGUUUUUUUUAAAUCAAGCCAAAAGCGUAAUAGUUGGCUUUUCAAAGUCAUCUUUCGCUAAAAGCCAGGUUUUUUUUUUGGUUUCUUGAGUUAGUGCUUGCAGAGAAACAGAAAAAUAUUUAUUUUUUUUUUUAAACUUGAUCUGAAAUCAGGUAGGAUUACCCGCUGA
rnacentral:misc_RNA from 1 species